rnacentral:rRNA from 1 species
AUACGGAGGAUGCGAACGUUAUCCGGAUUUAUUGGGUUUAAAGGGUGCGUAGGCUGUGCGUUAAGUCAGGGGUGAAAUGCCGUCGCUCAACGACGGAGCUGCCCUUGAUACUGGCGUGCUGGAGUACGGAUGCCGUUGGAGGAAUGAGUGGUGUAGCGGUGAAAUGCUUAGAUAUCACUCAGAACACCGAUUGCGAAGGCAUCUGACGAAUCCGUCACUGACGCUGAGGCACGAAAGCGUGGGGAUAGAACAGGAUUAGAUACCCUGGUAUUCCACGCCGUAAACGAUGAUGACUAACCGUCGGCGAUAGACAGCCGGUGGCCAAGCGAAAGCGAUAAGUCAUCCACCUGGGGAGUACGUCGGCAACGAUGAAACUCAAAUGAAUUGACGGGG